GGGGUUUCAAAACAUAAAAGUGAAAGUCCUUGUGAAUCUCCUUAUCCAAAUGAGAAAGACAAGGAAAAAAAUAAGUCAAAAUCUUCAGGCAAAGAAAAAGGCAGUGAUUCAUUUAAAUCUGAGAAGAUGGAUAAAAUCUCCUCCGGUGGCAAAAAGGAGUCCAGGCAUGAUAAAGAAAAGAUAGAAAAGAAAGAGAAACGGGACAGUUCAGGAGGAAAGGAAGAGAAGAAACAGUCCUCGGACAAGCACAGAUAAUGAAGACUUUCCAUCAAGGCUAUGGACAGACCCCCUAAGCCGAAAGUCUCCCAGAGGAGGAUGCCAAAGCUCCGUGCGUCACUCUCAGAAUGAUAUCUCCCAUAAUUAAGAGCUUCUGGUGCUGUCCAUUUAAUGGGAAUCUGCUUUAAGUCAGAAGAUGAGUACACACCACCAUCCUCUUGACGAGACAUUCCAAAGUCACUGAUUUUCAGAACAUUAUUUUCACCUCCAGGCAGUUUCUUACAGCAAGGUCCCUGUGUAUACAUUUUUUACUCGAGAUACACCAUCCAGAAUCAGCAUCUAAUGAAAAUUUCACUG
rnacentral:lncRNA from 1 species